rnacentral:rRNA from 1 species
UACGUAGGCAGCAAGCGUUGUUCGGAGUUACUGGGCGUAAAGGGUGCGUAGGCGGUCCUAUAAGUAUGGUGUGAAAUCUCCCGGCUUAACUGGGAGGGUGCGCUAUAGACUGUGGGACUAGAGUGUGGGAGAGGAAAGUGGAAUUCCUGGUGUAGCGGUGAAAUGCGUAGAUAUCAGGAGGAACACCGGUGGCGAAGGCGGUUCUCUGGGCAUGUCCUGACGCUGGAGGAGCGAAAGUGUGGGGAGCGAACAGG